rnacentral:ribozyme from 1 species
CUUGUUUGUUGAGUCUGAACCUUUACGUGGUGCGAGGGAUUAUUAGAUUUCUUGAGCAGAUAUCUAAGGACUAAUGCAGAC